rnacentral:rRNA from 1 species
UACGGAGGGUGCAAGCGUUAUCCGGAUUCACUGGGUUUAAAGGGUGCGUAGGCGGGCAGGUAAGUCCGUGGUGAAAUCUCUGAGCUUAACUCAGAAACUGCCAUGGAUACUAUUUGUCUUGAAUAUUGUGGAGGUGAGCGGAAUAUGUCAUGUAGCGGUGAAAUGCUUAGAUAUGACAUAGAACACCAAUUGCGAAGGCAGCUCACUACUCAAUUAUUGACGCUGAGGCACGAAAGCGUGGGGAUCAAACAGG